UUUCGGGGCGGGGUGCAAUUCCCCACCGGUGGUAAAAGUCCACGACUUCCGCAGCGCGGAACUGAUACGGUGAAAUUCCGUAACCGACGGUUACAGUCCGGACGAGAGAAA
rnacentral:ncRNA from 1 species